GCUCCCAGCGCUUCGCGUACCAGGAAGGGGACGGCGUCCUGAAAGGGACAUUUAAAAAACGGAGGCAACGCGUCUAUUAAUUAGGUGGCGGCGCCUGGGGUCGCAGCACUCAAGAGGCUGAGAGUCUCGCCCUUUUGCCUAGUGGAGGAGCUCGGCUCACUGCAAGCUCCGCGCCACAACCCCCCCGCCGCCCCAGGUUCAAGCGAUUCUCCUGCCUCAGUCUCCCGAGUAGACUGGGAUUACAGGCGACUGCCACCAUGCCCGGCUAAUUUUUGUAUUUUUGGUAGAGACGGGGUUUCACUAUGUUGGCCAGGCUGAACCCGAACUCGUGACCUCAGGUGAUCUUCCCGCCUCAGUCUCUGAGUGCUGGGAUUGUAGGCGCAAUGGUGGGGUGGAAGAGUUCCUAGUUUUAAAGGAGAAGUACAAGAAGACCCAUAAUGGUUAGCAAGAUAUAUAGAAAACGGUAGACACAGCAGCACACUUUUCAAGUCAGCUCCAGGUUCAAGCUCAAAGGCCUAAAGUUUUGCAAACAUCUGAUGAA
rnacentral:antisense_RNA from 1 species